rnacentral:rRNA from 1 species
CCCUUAGAUGUUCUGGGCUGCACGCGCGCUACACUGAUGCACUCAACGAGUUUACGACCUUGCCCGAUAGGGUUGGGUAAUCUUUUUAAAAUGCAUCGUGAUGGGGAUAGAUUAUUGCAAUUAUUAAUCUUCAACGAGGAAUUCCUAGUAAGCGCGAGUCAUCAGCUCGUGCUGAUUACGUCCCUGCCCCUUGUACACACCGCCCGUCGCUCCUACCGAUUGAGUGCUCAGGUGAAUAAUUCGGACUGCAGCAAUGUUUGGAUCCCGAACGUUGCAGCGGAAAGUUUAGUGAACCUUAUCACUUAGAGGAAGGAGAAGUCGUAACA